AGUGAACGCUGGCGGUAGGCCUAACACAUGCAAGUCGAACGGCAGCACAGUAAGAGCCUGCUCUUACGGGUGGCGAGUGGCGGACGGGUGAGGAAUACAUCGGAAUCUACUUUUUCGUGGGGGAUAACGAAGGGAAACUUACGCUAAUACCGCAUACGACCUACGGGUGAAAGCAGGGGAUCUUCGGACCUUGCGCGAUUGAAUGGGCCGAUGUCGGAUUAGCUAGUUGGCGGGGUAACGGCCCACCAAGGCGACGAUCCGUAGCUGGUCUGGGAGGAUGAUGAGCCACACUGGAACUGAGACACGGUCCAGACUCCUACGGGAGGCAGCAGUGGGGAAUAUUGGACAAUGGGCGCAAGCCUGAUCCAGCCAUACCGCGUGGGUGAAGAAGGCCUUCGGGUUGUAAAGCCCUUUUGUUGGGAAAGAAAAGCAGCAGGUUAAUACCCCGCUGUUCUGACGGUACCCAAAUAAUAAGCACCGGCUAACUUCGUG
rnacentral:rRNA from 1 species